CUUAGCGUGAAGUGAAGCACAUAAACCUGCUGAAUUUAAGCAUAUAAGUAAGUGGUGGAAAUUAAACCAAAUGGGAUUUCUUUAGUAAUUGCGAAUGAACAAGGAUAUGCUUAGCUUGACAAAUGGAGCUUUUGGCUUUGAGUUGUAUUGUGGAAAUGUACCACCAACAGAGGUGCAAGUGUCAGCCAUUUGAAAGAAAGCGUCAAUGAGGGUGAGAAUCCUGUUUGUCAUGUGCAGCCCUCUGUGCACGGUGUAUAUUUGCUGAGUCACACUCCUUGGCAUUGGAAUGCAAAGUGGGUGGUAAGUUUCAUACAAAGGUAAAUAUGCAAUUGAGACUGAUAGCACACAAGUACCAUGAGGGAAAUAUGAAAAGGACUUUGAAAAGAGAAUUAAAUGAGUUUGUAUUUGCUGAACACAAAGCAAACAGACUUGAUUUGCUUGGUGAGAUUGUAGUGCUUGCUUGACAAUAGGUUUUGGCUGUGGGUGAAAUGAUUCUUUCUUUGCAUGCCAGGUUCUAUGUGUACAUUUGAUUACCUUUGCACAUGAAUGGUAAUUUUCCUGCGGGGGGUGGAUUGCAUGUGCAUGUAAUGAUUUGUGUUUUGAUGAAUGUGUCUGGUGUAUCU
rnacentral:rRNA from 1 species